CGGCAGAUAAAAGAACAAGUUAACAUUAAUAUAAUUAAGACUAGCUUUUCUGUUCUAGUUGUGGAAGUAAAAUAAAUAUUAAUGAUUAAAAAAAAUAGUUUUGAAGUAUUCAAAUUUUACGAAACAAGACAAUCCAAUCCAGGAUGUUAAGCGUUGUUGGCUUUUUUUGCAGGCUGUUUAAACAGAACGAGCGGGUUGGUACAAUAGUUGGUUUGGAUAAUUAAACUUGAGGAAGAAAACGAGAAGGGACGGACAAACACAAACUUCUAUCGCGGGCACAACUUUGUUGUGCCCGCGAUAUUCUUGAGCGUGCGUGUUGCCUUCCCUGCGGUUUGCGUAGGCUAUUUCCAUAGAACGUUUGAGCCUGGAGUGCGUUGAGAGUUCACAGCAAGCAGCUAGUGCCGCUGGUGCCCUGUGGGUUCCACCGAAGUCGUCCUCAGUUGUACCCCACCGAGGGCAUCGCAGUGUCUGCGGCGCCGAGCAAGUACUGCGUCUUCAAGGGCGGUGCCCGUAAAGCCGACGGUGUCUCGUUAUUCCAGUUUCUCAGGAACCGCAGACUAAGGAGCAUUUCCCAGACAACUUGAUGGAUGACAAGGCCUAGCCCCGACUGAAAAAGGGUGCCUUUCCGGCGCUGCAACUCGAAGAAGCGCCAACAGCGAAACGCAGGAGGAGGAGAGCAGUGCGCAGUCGUACCGGAAUCUCCGAGUGACAGCGUUGCUCCAGGACUAGCUACUCUCGACCAGUGGGCA